UACGUAGGGUGCAAGCGUUUGUCCGGAAUUAUUGGGCGUAAAGAGCUCGUAGGCGGUUUGUCGCGUCUGCUGUGAAAACCCGAGGCUCAACCUCGGGCCUGCAGUGGGUACGGGCAGACUAGAGUGCGGUAGGGGAGAUUGGAAUUCCUGGUGUAGCGGUGGAAUGCGCAGAUAUCAGGAGGAACACCAAUGGCGAAGGCAGAUCUCUGGGCCGUAACUGACGCUGAGGAGCGAAAGCGUGGGGAGCGAACAGG
rnacentral:rRNA from 1 species